AUUGAACGCUAGCGGCAGGCCUAACACAUGCAAGUCGAACGAGUGGCGGACGGGUGAGUAAUGUAUGGGAAACUGCCUGAUGGAGGGGGAUAACUACUGGAAACGGUAGCUAAUACCGCAUACCAUCAGAUGUGCCCCGAUGGGAUGAGCUAGUAGGUGGGGUAACGGCUAAACUAGGCGACGAUCCCUAGCUGGUCUGAGAGGAUGACCGGCCACACUGGGACGGAGACACGGUCCAGACUCCUACGGGAGGCAGCAGGGGGGAAUAUUGCACAAGGGGCGCAAGCCUGAUGCAGCCAUGCCGCGUGUAUGAAGAAGGCCUUCGGGUUGUAAAGUACUUUCAGCUGGGAGGCGUUACCUGCAGAAGAAGCACCGGCUAACUCCGUGCCAGCAGCCGCGGUAAUUC
rnacentral:rRNA from 1 species